GGAGGCAUCGUUGGGAUACCACCCUGAUCGUAUCGGAGUUCUAACCUGGUACCGUGAUCCGGUACAGGGACCGUGUCAGGUGGGCAGUUUGACUGGGGCGGUCGCCUCCUAAAAUGUAACGGAGGCGCCCAAAGGUUCCCUCAGAAUGGUUGGAAAUCAUUCGCAGCGUGCAAAGGCAUAAGGGAGCUUGACUGCGAGACCUACAAGUCGAGCAGGGACGAAAGUCGGGCUUAGUGAUCCGGUGGUACCGCAUGGAAGGGCCAUCGCUCAACGGAUAAAAGCUACCCUGGGGAUAACAGGCUUAUCUCCCCCAAGAGUCCACAUCGACGGGGAGGUUUGGCACCUCGAUGUCGGCUCAUCGCAUCCUGGGGCUGAAGUAGGUCCCAAGGGUUGGGCUGUUCGCCCAUUAAAGCGGUACGCGAGCUGGGUUCAGAACGUCGUGAGACAGUUCGGUCCCUAUCUGUCGUGGGCGUAGGAAAUUUGAGAGGAGCUGUCCUUAGUACGAGAGGACCGGGAUGGACGCACCGCUGGUGUACCAGUUGUUCCGCCAGGAGCACCGCUGGGUAGCCAAGUGCGGACGGGAUAAGCGCUGAAAGCAUCUAAGCGUGAAGCCCCCCUCAAGAUGAGAUUUCCCAGUAUGUAAGACCCCUUGAAGACGACGAGGUAGAUAGGUUCGAGGUGGAAG
rnacentral:rRNA from 1 species